rnacentral:lncRNA from 1 species
AAACAAUGGAAUUCAUAGAAUCAACUCAUGCGAAAUUAAUUAGGGCUUUGGUGGGGGCCCGACAUUCACAAAUAUUCUCUUUGAUAGUGUUUGUUUGAUAUUCGAUUGAUUGUGCUUCCUCUUUGUGGUAUAUAUGAGAUUGUUUUUAAUCUGUUAUUUGGCUAAUUUUGUUUCCCAUAGAGAAGUACUAGCUUGCUACCCAGGUAUGCUCUUCCUCACUUAUUUUCGAGAAUUAUGUGGGCACGUAUGCUAUUGGUGAUUAGAUCCAUACAUGAUGUGAUUCUUAGGUGUUCAAAUACAUGCUUGAUUUGCUUAGAUAAAAUAAAUGUUGUAUCACAUUUUCAAACUAAUCUUUGAUGUCCUUUUGAUAGCGCUUAAGAAGUGAUUCAGGUACGUAUCCUAACUCUCCUUUAUCGUGAUUUGAUCUUGUUUGGCAUGUUAUUUUUGAAAUCACCUUGCUUACUUAAGUAUCCAUGAUCAACCAUUUAAUUGCCACGUUUCCC